CAACCCCAGUGCACCGAAUCUCUAGGAGGAAGGAGGCUGAGCACAGCAGAGAAGAAAGGUGUGGACCAGGUCCUUCAGCAGCCCUGAGAACUGAAAAGAGAGGAAGGCAGACCCUUCAUGAUGGAGACGGACAAGGCUUAUUCCCUGACUGUGUGCAUCUCCUGGAAAUAACUGCAGGAAAGCCAGAGGGAGCCUGUGUCUCUGUGAGUGACCACCAAGCUGUGGAGGCAAGGAAACAUGAGGGGGACAAGGAAAAGCCCACGGUCGCAGAAAGGACAGCUGGAUCUAAGGGAUAUGAGCUGAAAACAGAAGGGGAAGGAAGGGUGGUGUCGCAGAGCUGCUUCGCUCUGGGCUGCAGGGACACAGGAGGAACAAGGCAGGUCUACGUGACCCUUGUCUGUCUAGGGCUACCUCUUACCUGUGCUUCACAUGGCCAAGAGGAGGAAAAUGGACAUACUGGCAUGUUUAACAGGAAAUUGAGAAAGACACCAGAUCAUACAGAGUUGAGAAAACACCAGCCACUUAGCUUGGAAUAAAGACCCGCAAGUAGGAAGGUGGGGUACAAAAGAAGAUUGGGGUGAACCCAGGAGUAGCCCCAUCUCCAGUAGACCUAACCCACAUAUGUUUCCGCCAUACGGUCCCCCAGACCACAGAUGGAGUACUCCAGGCUUCCCAUCCCUGCCUGCUGGCUCUGUUCCUCCAUAGGAGAGUGAACACUGAAAGACAGCAAUGGCUGUCUCUUCCAC
rnacentral:lncRNA from 1 species